rnacentral:tRNA from 1 species
GGAGGGUAUAGCUCAGUGGUAGAGUGCAUGCUUAACAUGCAUGAGGUCCUGGGUUCAAUUCCCAGUACCUCUG